GAUGAAGAACGUAGCGAAAUGCGAUAAGUAAUGUGAAUUGCAGAAUUCAGUGAAUCAUCGAAUCUUUGAACGCACAUUGCUCCCUCUGGUAUUCCGGGGGGCAUGCCUGUUCGAGCGUCAUUAUAACCACUCAAGCUCUCGCUUGGUAUUGGGGUUCGCGGUUCCGCGGCCCCUAAAAUCAGUGGCGGUGCCUGUCGGCUCUACGCGUAGUAAUACUCCUCGCGAUUGAGUCCGGUAGGUCUACUUGCCAGCAACCCCCAAUUUUUACAGGUUGACCUCGGAUCAGGUAGGGAUACCCGCUGAACUUAAGCAUAUCAAUAAGCGGAGGA
rnacentral:misc_RNA from 1 species